rnacentral:rRNA from 1 species
GACGAACGCUGGCGGCGUGCUUAACACAUGCAAGUCGAACGGAAAGGCCCUGCUUUUGUGGGGUGCUCUAGUGGCGAACGGGUGAGUAACACGUGAGUAACCUGCCCUUGACUUUGGGAUAACUUCAGGAAACUGGGGCUAAUCCCGGAUAGGAGCUCCUGCUGCAUGGUGGGGGUUGGAAAGUUUCGGCGGUUGGGGAUGGACUCGCGGCUUAUCAGCUUGUUGGUGGGGUAGUGGCUUACCAAGGCUUUGACGGGUAGCCGGCCUGAGAGGGUGACCGGCCACAUUGGGACGGAGAUACGGCCCAGACUCCUACGGGAGGCAGCAGUGGGGAAUAGUGCACAAUGGGCGGAAGCCUGAUGCAGCAACGCCGCGUGCGGGAUGACGGCCUUCGGGUUGUAAACCGCUUUCGCCUGUGACGAAGCGUGAGUGACGGUAAUGGGUAAAGAAGCACCGGCUAACUACGUG